ACGAACGCUGGCGGCGUGCUUAACACAUGCAAGUCGAACGGAAAGGCCCUGCUUGCAGGGUACUCGAGUGGCGAACGGGUGAGUAACACGUGGGUGAUCUGCCCUGCACUUCGGGAUAAGCCUGGGAAACUGGGUCUAAUACCGGAUAGGAGCCAUUUUUAGUGUGAUGGUUGGUAAGUUUUUUCGGUGUAGGAUGAGCUCGCGGCCUAUCAGCUUGUUGGUGGGGUAAUGGCCUACCAAGGCGGCGACGGGUAGCCGGCCUGAGAGGGUGGACGGCCACAUUGGGACUGAGAUACGGCCCAGACUCCUACGGGAGGCAGCAGUGGGGAAUAUUGCACAAUGGGCGCAAGCCUGAUGCAGCGACGCCGCGUGGGGGAUGACGGCCUUCGGGUUGUAAACUCCUUUCGCUAGGGACGAAGCUUUUUGUGACGGUACCUAGAUAAGAAGCACCGGCUAACUACGUG
rnacentral:rRNA from 1 species